rnacentral:pre_miRNA from 1 species
AUUCUACUCCCUCCAUUGCACAAUACAUGCCUUAUAUUUGUCAAAAUAUAUAUGUAUCUAGACAUGUUUUAGUAUAUAGGUACAUCCAUUUUUGGACAAAUGGAAGUCAAGUAUUUUGGAACGGAGGGAGUACACA